UCAGGCGAGAUGUACUGAUGAGGCAGCUGUUUGAACUCCAUAAUCCUUUUGGUCACAUCCAACAUAGCCCCAAUAAGACUGUUCAGAGCUUCAAAGCGGGACUUCAAUGCAUUCGAAUGCUCCAUUAAGUCAGCUCCACUGGUCUUAUCCUCCAUGGAAUCAAUAUGGGCCCCCUGCACAUCAUUCAAGCAAAUCCUUAAUCAAAUUGAACCCAAGCAGAAAAUCAAGAAGAACCCAACAAAAAAUGAAGCUGAUCAAGAUAAGAAAUAUACUUCAAUGCUCGGAGCAGCUCGUUUAAGGACAUCUUCAAUGAUGUCUAAGAUUGGCCUGACAUCCACAUCGCGGCCAUCAGGAGCAUGGGUUCCUUGGAUCUGCUUCAGCAUUGUGCUAUCAUCGGAUGCUGCGAACAUCCGGCGGUCACCCCUUGCCAUCUGCCUAUGUGAUGGUGGUGCACUUCCCAUUUUUUUUUCUAAAUUACACCUUCGUACAGAGAAACUUGUCAAUAUCUUACAAGAACAAGUGCACUGUUCUACUGCUCUACCUUCCACGGUCCACUGAGCUAAACAUUAUAUAGUGAUGAAAAUAUGAAAAAUAGCUUUUAUUUUAAUUCUAUGUUGGUUAAUUACCAAUAAGAAAAUAGAUAAUAAAGGUACUAAAAUCUUUGAAUCAA